rnacentral:snRNA from 1 species
UUGCUUUGGCAGCAAAUAUACAAAAAUUAGAAUGAUACAGAUAAGAUGAGCAUGGUCCCUGCACAAGGAUGACACACAAAUUUGUGAAGCAUUCCAUAUUUUU